GAUGAACGCUGGCGGCGUGCCUAAUACAUGCAAGUCGAGCGAACAGAUGAGGAGCUUGCUCCUCUGACGUUAGCGGCGGACGGGUGAGUAACACGUGGAUAACCUACCUAUAAGACUGGGAUAACUUCGGGAAACCGGAGCUAAUACCGGAUAAUAUAUUGAACCGCAUGGUUCAAUAGUGAAAGACGGUUUUGCUGUCACUUAUAGAUGGAUCCGCGCCGCAUUAGCUAGUUGGUAAGGUAACGGCUUACCAAGGCGACGAUGCGUAGCCGACCUGAGAGGGUGAUCGGCCACACUGGAACUGAGACACGGUCCAGACUCCUACGGGAGGCAGCAGUAGAGAAUCUUCCGCAAUGGGCGAAAGCCUGACGGAGCAACGCCGCGUGAGUGAUGAAGGUCUUCGGAUCGUAAAACUCUGUUAUUAGGGAAGAACAAAUGUGUAAGUAACUAUGCACGUCUUGACGGUACCUAAUCAGAAAGCCACGGCUAACUACGUG
rnacentral:rRNA from 1 species